GGUGAUUCAAAUUCCUCUACUCAUCUGUGCUUUCAUACCGUUGUAUAAACCAAACUUGCGAAGGAGACGAGCCACCUCACACGGUCACGCUCGCCUCUCUGCAAACGGAUACGCUUUCUCUCUCUCUCUUUCUCAUCCUUUGUUGAGUUCCAGUAGGAGAAACCCUUGGCAUCGACCGGAGAAUCUACCUCUCACACUCUCUGCGGCAGGGUACGAAGGAGAUGGUUUCUGCAGAUGUUCCAGGAGUGGAUGUGAUCGAUUACGUAUGCACCUCUCAUCUCAUCCUUUGUUGUGUUCCAGUAGGAGAAACCCUUGGCAUCGAUCGGAGAAGCGACCAUUGGCAUCGACCGGAGAAGCGCCCUCUCACACCCUAUGCGGCAGGGUACGAAGGAGAUACCUCUUUCCCACUGGCUGACUAGGAGAAACCCUUGGCAUCGACCAGAGAAGCUCCCUCUUACACUCUCUGCGGCGGCUGGGUACGAAGGAGAUACCACUUUCCCACUGGCUGACUAGGAGAAACCCUUGGCAUCGACCAGAGAAGCGCCCUCUCACACUCUCUGCGGCGGCAGGGUACGAAGGAGAUACCUCUUUCCCACUGGCUGACGUAUGCAUCUCUCUCACGUAGGAGAAACCCUUGGCAUCGACCAGAGAAGCGCCCUGUCACACUCUCUGCUGCAGGGUACGAAGAAGAUACCUCUUUCUCACUGGCUGACGUAUGCAUCUCUCCCUCCGUUUGGGUUUCUGCAAAUAUUCCUGGAGUGGAUUUGAUCGAUUAAGAUUCUUGGUUGCCAAGUUGUUCUGAUUGCAAAGCUAUCAGGUUGGGGGAUGAUCCAAUGGCGAUUUUAAGCAGAGGUUGUGAAAGAGCUGUAUGAGAAAAUGUUCAAGUUUGUUGAAGCUUUAAACUAUGCAUCCAAAUGCAUGGAUGUGGUCAUUGAUUGAAAGUUGUGCAAAUAGGCUGUCAAACCUUAGUGUAAAAUAUUCAAGCAAAUUUUAAUUGUAAUAUUUGCUUAAGAAAUUACUGAGGCAUGUGCACAUGUGGUGGCCAUUGACUUCGGUAUGUAGUUGACUAUCUUUUUUCUCUUUGUACAGAGUUAUUGUACCCUGAUUCCCUGAUCUAGGGGGUAGGUUACAACUAGCCUCUUGCCUUUAUAGUUUUUCCCUGAAAGAAUCCUCCAACCUUGGUUUAAAGCAAACACAAUUGUAUUGAACUCACUGAGAUGGAAAAUUGACCAAGACACCACCAUUUGGGCUGGGCCAUUUGGGCUUUCACUCCUCAUCAGAGAAACAAUUCUCUCCUAUAAAAGCUAGAUCACUUCUGGUUAAUUUAGUGCUUUAAUCACAAAUUCUUAUAUGUCAUCCUAAAGUGUGUUAUAUCUUCAGAUAUUCACUUCUGGUUAAUUUUCCUCACUCUUGAAAGGAAAAUAUCCUGCCCUUGCUAGGCGACAGUGUGCCUCUAUACCAUUUCCUGGGUCAAUGUUUGGUGUAAUCUAUGUUGAAUAUCUAAGUUGAAUCGUGAUCAUUUACUUGAGCAACAUGAAAUUCUCCCCUAUAAAAAAAAGCCAGAUCACUUCUAGUUAAUUUAGUGCUUUAAUCACAAAUUCUAAUCUGUCAUCCUAAAGUGUGCUAUAUCUUCAGAUAUUCACUUUUGGUUAAUUUUCCUCACUCUUGAAAGGAAAAUUUUCUGCCCUUGCUAGGUGACAGUGUGCUGCUAUACCAUUUUCUGGGUCAAUUUUGGUGUUAUAUGUUGAAUAUAUAUAAGAUCGAAUUGUGAUCAUUUACUUUAGCAACAUGAUUCUGCACAUCAAUCAAUUCUUACAAGUACCUUGUUUUCUCAUUUACCAGAUUUUGGACAAACAUAGCUAGAAUUCUAUUUGUAAUGUGUUUCUUCUCAAAUUUUGACGAAAAGCUACUAAAAGUAAACAAAUUUCUGAAAAAAAAAAUCUUUAAUUCCUGUUUGUAUACCUCAUUAAGAUGCUUCAUAUAACAUGAUCGAUCUACACCAAAAUCCAGGGAAAUAGGGUUCUCCUGGUUCUGUAUGGUGAGAAGAAAAAGAUAGGUGCAAUAUCGUACUCCGAUCCGCCAAGGUGACGAGAACUAGGAUGGGUGCAAUACCGUACCCUAUAACUAAAUUGUGCAAAAUUGAAGUAAACAAAUAAAGCAAGACCAAGAACUCUAAAUAAAAAGCUGCUUAACCAAGUCUAUAUUUCAGAAUCAAGAGGCACCACUGUAGGCUUUGAUAUGAAGAUAGAACUAGAAGAUCUUUGGGUUACAGGCUUGGGUUUGAGGAUUUGAGAAAAAUAAGGGUAGUUGGUCUUUGAUGGAGCUUUGAGGGCUGUUGAUGCUAACUUUUGAGGGCGAUCGGUUUUAUUGGGGACGAUUAGAGCCUUAGUUGGAGUUGUUGAAGAUUGGCGGAGUUUUGAGAAGUCCGGCAGAGCUUGAUCUUGAAAACUUCGAAGAACUUGAGAGGGACGAUCUUUCUUUUGGGGAGCUCUCUCUCUAAUUAUAGAAUUUUGGGAGUAAAAUUACAAGUGCUUUGUGAAGAGGAGUGUCCCUUUUAUAGACUAAUCGAGCACAUUUACAUUUCAUUUGGGUUUGGGAAAACAUUUGAGUUUCAUUUGGCACUGUACAAAAUUACAAUGAAAUUUGGUACUGUGCAUUUGGAUUUGCUUUUGGCACUAUUUGGAGGUACUGUUGGCGCUAAAAGUUGGCUUUGAUCUUGGGCUUUGGAUUCUUCUAUGAUCGUACCACGGCAUUCCACGUGUCAGGGACACUGUUUUCUGCAUUGGAUUGAUCAAGAGAGUUUUACCAAAAUUUUCUAAGCCUGGUACUGGCCUGACUGUCUUUUGACCUGGGACAGUUGGCUAGAUUAAAACCGUCCUAGCAGACGUUGAGGACCAAAUCAGCGUUUGGUCGAAGAUCUUGAUUUUGGGGAAGCCCGGUGUCACACCUCGUUCACACAGAACCGGACCGGUGAUCGGGUUAA